GAUGAACGCUGGCGGCGUGCUUAACACAUGCAAGUCGAACGAAGCACUUUGAAAGCUUGCGUUUGGAGUGACUGAGUGGCGGACGGGUGAGUAACGCGUGGGUAACAUGCCUUAUACAGGGGGAUAACAGUUGGAGACGACUGCUAAUACCGCAUAAGCGCAUAGUGCUGCAUGACACAGUGUGAACAACUCCGGUGGUAUAAGAUGGACCCGCGUCUGAUUAGCUAGUUGGUGAGGUAACGGCUCACCAAGGCGACGAUCAGUAGCCGGCUUGAGAGAGUGAUCGGCCACAUUGGGACUGAGACACGGCCCAAACUCCUACGGGAGGCAGCAGUGGGGAAUAUUGCACAAUGGGGGGAACCCUGAUGCAGCAACGCCGCGUGAGUGAAGAAGUAUUUCGGUAUGUAAAGCUCUAUCAGCAGGGAAGAUAAUGACGGUACCUGACUAAGAAGCCCCGGCUAACUACGUGCCAGCCGCCGCGGUAACAC
rnacentral:rRNA from 1 species